GCAUGAGGGAGUCAGGCGCGACCCACCCAGGGAGGUCCAGACCUCAACCUCCCUGCGGCCCUGGACUGGUAGGACAACACCCUCCCUCAGGCACAGGACCAGGCGUGUGGAGGGUCCUCUGUGGAGGAAACACCAAAG